rnacentral:rRNA from 1 species
GAUGAACGCUAGCGGCAGGCUUAACACAUGCAAGUCGAGGGGCAGCACGAUGUAGCAAUACAUUGGUGGCGACCGGCGCACGGGUGCGUAACACGUAUGGAACCUGCCCUAUACUGGGAGAUAGCCCAGAGAAAUCCGGAUUAAUAUCCCAUAAUAAAUGAGGUGGCAUCACCUUGUUUUGAAAGCUCCGGCGGUAUAGG